CGGUUGACGGAACAGGCGGUAAUACGCUAAAAAUAAACGCCAUCACCUUUAAGGAUG
rnacentral:tRNA from 1 species